AUGAACGCUGGCGGCGUGCCUAAUCCCUGCCAGUCGAGCGAACAGACGAGGAGCUUGCUCCUCUGACGUUAGCGGCGGACGGGUGAGUAACACGUGGAUAACCUACCUAUAAGACUGGGAUAACUUCGGGAAACCGGAGCUAAUACCGGAUAAUAUAUUGAACCGCAUGGUUCAAUAGUGAAAGACGGUUUUGCUGUCACUUAUAGAUGGAUCCGCGCCGCAUUAGCUAGUUGGUAAGGUAACGGCUUACCAAGGCAACGAUGCGUAGCCGACCUGAGAGGGUGAUCGGCCACACUGGAACUGAGACACGGUCCAGACUCCUACGGGAGGCAGCAGUAGGGAAUCUUCCGCAAAGGGCGAAAGCCUGACGGAGCAACGCCGCGUGAGUGAUGAAGGUCUUCGGAUCGUAAAACUCUGUUAUUAGGGAAGAACAAAUGUGUAAGUAACUAUGCACGUCUUGACGGUACCUAAUCAGAAAGCCACGGCUAACUACGUG
rnacentral:rRNA from 1 species